AGUGAACGCUGGCGGUAGGCCUAACACAUGCAAGUCGAACGGCGGCACAGUAAGAGCUUGCUCUUACGGGUGGCGAGUGGCGGACGGGUGAGGAAUACAUCGGAAUCUACUUUUUCGUGGGGGAUAACGUAGGGAAACUUACGCUAAUACCGCAUACGACCUACGGGUGAAAGCAGGGGAUCUUCGGACCUUGCGCGAUUGAAUGAGCCGAUGUCGGAUUAGCUAGUUGGCGGGGUAAAGGCCCACCAAGGCGACGAUCCGUAGCUGGUCUGAGAGGAUGAUCAGCCACACUGGAACUGAGACACGGUCCAGACUCCUACGGGAGGCGGCAGUGGGGAAUAUUGGACAAUGGGCGCAAGCCUGAUCCAGCCAUACCGCGUGGGUGAAGAAGGCCUUCGGGUUGUAAAGCCCUUUUGUUGGGAAAGAAAAGCAGCAGGUUAAUACCCCGCUGUUCUGACGGUACCCAAAGAAUAAGCACCGGCUAACUUCGUG
rnacentral:rRNA from 1 species